GAUUAUAGCUCAGUAGGUUACAACAUGGUGCUGGUGAUGCCAAGGUUGCAGGUUCGAUCCCCGUAUGGGACA